ACCCCCACGAAAAGACAACUUAUCACAAAAACCUAAAGAGGUCCAGUUAGGCGCUUCCUCCGCGUGCUCUAACCCUUACACAGUUCUAGAUGUUCUUCCUCUUCUCCACCACCCCCGACAUUGUACCCGAUGACAGGGUGUUGUGGGCAGUCUUAACUAUCUAACGUUCGGAUCAAUCAAGGUAACGCACAGUCCUGACAGGCUUCCUGGACAGGGUAAGGCGCUGUCCGAGGGCAGCAUUCAGCAACAGACCAAAGAUUGACGACCAUGACAUUGUUGAAGUCACUUCUGGUGUCCGCCUCCCUGGAUCCACCUCCUCUUGCCAGGAGCCAAUAAUACUAGAAGUGGCACACUGAUCAGGAUUUAACGACCAUUGUUGAGGAUGGAGAGACGAGAGGAAAUUAGCCAGUUACAUGCCAUGAUGGCAGAAAUCAGGGCUCAAAAGGCCCAUGUAGGGGAGCAACAGACACAGCUUGCUGAGGUACAUAAUCAAACCUCUCUCCAACAGGAACGAUUGUUGGGUCCAUCCUAGUUGUUGCUUCUAUUACACCCAGAUGACGAUAUUGAGAAUGUUUUUUGUAGUGUAUGAAUGAGUGCACCAGUGCCCAUCAUCAGUGAGAGCAUGUGGAAUGGGCAAAGUACUGGCACAGGUUUUGAGGGGCCUAUUAUUAUUUUGAUGAGCAGGCUGCUGGUGAAUAUGACCAACUAGAAGCAGAGGCUUUAAUUCCUCAAAUAGUCCCAUAGUCCUGGUCCCUAAGCCCACAGAGAGCUGGCGCUUUUGCAAUGACUUUCAUCAACUUAAUCAAGUCUGCCAAUUCAAUGCAUAUCUGAUGCUGCGAGUUGACAAACUCCUCAAGCGAUCUGGUAAGGCUCAAUAUUUGACCACACUUGAUAUGAUGAAAGUGUACUGGCAAAUUCCUUUAACAGAAUCUGCCAAGGUAAAGAUCGCAUUCAGCAACAACAGCAGCCAUUGGCAGUAUCGUGUUACCGUGCUUCUGUGAUUUUCCAGUGUCUGGUGGAUAGAGUGCUGCGGCCGCACAACGCUUAUAGUGCCCCAUACAUGGAUAACAUUGUCAUUGAUUCAGCACAUUGGAUUCACAUUGUAUUCGUUCAUGUGGUGCUCCUGGGACUGAGCAAAGUUGGCAUAUGCAUCAAACUGAAGAAAUGUUUCUUCGGAUUGACCAAAGUCAAAUAUUUAGGCUACUUGGUGGGUAGGGGCGUCAUUCAUCCACAAUGCACCAAAAUAGAUGCCACCAUGAACUGGCCCCAUCUGAAGAACAGGAAGCAGAUGCAAGCUUUCUUAGGAGUAGUAGGCUACUACCGCCAGUUUGUUGCUCAUUUUCCUGAGAUAGCAGACCUUACAAAGAAGAUGGCUCCUAACAUGGUAGUAUAGGAUGUUAAAACAAAGGCCACAUUCUGUGACUUAAAACAGGUGUUUACGUCAGCACUGGUAUUGAUCACACUUUUCUUGUGCUUUUAUCUUACUACCUCCUAGGACAUGAGUUCACUCUGGUAACCCUACAGUGGAAUCCUUGUGUGACCUGGUGGUUUUUGGAUCUGCAACCUUUUUGGUUCAAAGUCCUUCAUCGUUGGGGCUUACUCCAUACCAAUGCUGAUUUACUUUCUCAGGUUCAUGACAGGUCUGGGCCAGGGAGGUGGAAGGGGGUGGUGGUAAGGGUGGGACGGUUUAAUGGCUCAGAUAGGUGUGAUUUCUUGCCUGACCGAGGCCUUUUCUCUUCCUCUAUCUGCAGACCGGAUGAUCGACGACCAUGAAAUUGGUGAUGUCACUUCCGGUGUCCGACUCCCUAUAUUCGUCUCUUCCUGCCAGAAGCCAAUAAUACCAGAAGUUCUGCCAUCUUGAGGAGUCUGUUUUGGAGACUCGCAUCUAUACAACAUGUUCUUUUUCUUUUUGAAGCAUCAAAAUCUGUGUUUUAUUUAAAAUAAACAUAUACAGUAUAUAGAUUUGGGGCACCAACUGGAUUGUCCCAUUUAAUAUUAAGGAAAAAUAAACAAAAGUAACUCCCUCUUGGUGUGCUUGUCCUCAAUCUCAGGCCAAAAACAGCAAAAGAAUCAAUCCAAGUCAUAGGGUCAUUUUGUAUCAGGAGCUCCACCUAGCAGCUUGU